rnacentral:pre_miRNA from 1 species
GUUCAAUGCCUCCAAGCACUGACGUUGCGUGUGAUGGCGGUACAAAGAUGUACGGCAUCACACGCGGCGUCGGUGCUUGGGGGCAUUGAAAAAUAAUU